rnacentral:rRNA from 1 species
CCUCCGGGGUGCACCAGUGGGGAAUAUUGGACAAUGGGCGCAAGCCUGAUCCAGCCAUACCGCGUGUGUGAAGAAGGCCUUUUGGUUGUAAAGCACUUUAAGCGAGGAGGAGGCUACUUGGAUUAAUACUCUAGGAUAGUGGACGUUACUCGCAGAAUAAGCACCGGCUAACUCUGUGCCAGCAGCCGCGGUAAUACAGAGGGUGCGAGCGUUAAUCGGAUUUACUGGGCGUAAAGCGUGCGUAGGCGGCUUUUUAAGUCGGAUGUGAAAUCCCUGAGCCUAACUUAGGAAUUGCAUUCGAUACUGGGAAGCUAGAGUAUGGGAGAGGAUGGUAGAAUUCCAGGUGUAGCGGUGAAAUGCGUAGAGAUCUGGAGGAAUACCGAUGGCGAAGGCAGCCAUCUGGCCUAAUACUGACGCUGAGGUACGAAAGCAUGGGGAGCAAACAGGAUUAGAUACCCUAGUAGUC